rnacentral:sRNA from 1 species
AGAGCCGCGCAACGCCGCCGCCUUAGAACGCCUUUCCAGUACUGCUAGCAGCAGCCCGACCACGCGUUACCGCACGCUCGCGCCUUUCCCUUGACACGGCGGACGCCGGAGGAUUGGGGCGGCAAUUUGUCUUUUCCUUUUUUAUUAAAAUUAUUUUUCCUGCCUGUUGUUGGAUUUGGGGAAAUUUUUUGUUUGUUUUUUGUGAUUUGUAUUUGACUGAGAGAAACCCACUGAAGACGUCUGCGUGAGAACAGAGACCACCGAGGCCGACUCGCGGACCGGUGCACCCACCGCCAAGGACAAAAGGAGCCCAGCGCUACUAGCUGCACCCGAUUCCUCCCAGUGCUUAGCAUGAAGAAGGCCGAAAUGGGACGGUUCAGUAUUUCCCCGGAUGAAGACAGCAGCAGCUACAGUUCCAACAGCGACUUCAACUACUCCUACCCCACCAAGCAAGCUGCUCUGAAAAGGUGGGAGAAGUUGUGACACUUUUGAAAAAACGGCCUGCAUGGGUUGGGUUCGGGGAGUUGCCUAGGACUCUGCUUCCAUUGCUUUAAUUUGCUAUAGCAUUUAGAGAAGGUGCGUAAUCUCUGAAAGAGUAUCCGAUUAUCUUGUUGUAAUGACAAGAUAGCUGGUGUGAAAGUCAACUCCUAGUUAAUAUUUAUACAUUUAAGUAAAGAUGUAUCAGAACUAUGCUGUUGGGUAUUUUAUGUUAAAGCAGUCUUGUGUGUAAUGAUAGACAUUUCAAUCCAGUUUACAAUUAUAUGUGUCUAUAUUUUUUGCAGCCAUUAUGCAGAUGUAGAUCCUGAAAACCAGAACUUUUUACUUGAAUCGAAUUUGGGGA